GGGGCUACGGGUUUAGCCAGGGUUUCUUGAGUGGAAUUAGAGGUGCCGGUAGACGGCCCUUGGGAGCUAGUGCCAAGUCUAGGUUCGCUGGCCUGAGCCAACAAAAGUCUGAAAAGUUCCGCUUUCCUGGCAGUUGCUGGAAAGAGGAUGCCCCUGAGUCUAAGUUCGGCAGCAAUUUUUGGAAUAGUCCAAGAUUUUAGGGACAUGGGAGUAGAGUAUCGUCUGGCGAACCAGGCAUAGCUGGCGUGAUGAGUACUUCAUCUUUAGGUAAAUCUUCGAUGGGAAUAGAUUCCUGUGACAUUCUGAAAAAGGAAUAAUGAUGAAAUUAGAUAGGAGAGUGUGGAGGGGUAACGAGGCCUUUAUAGAACUGGCUUGCUGACUAGUGCCGAGGCGAAUAACUUAACUAUAACCAAGUGACAGGUGAGGCCCUGCUAAUGCCAAGUGGCAGUGAGAGGCUCUGCCUAUGAUUUGGGGUGAGG